AAGAAUAAUCAUAUAUUAUUAACAUUAUUGAAGAAUCUAAGGUCCCAAAAUAAACAAAAAAAUAAUUUUUACUGUCACAUUUUAUAAAAAUACAACGUUAUUUUUUGAAUUUUUGCCACAUUCUAUUAUAAUACAAGCUUCAUAGCGAGUCAUUCUUGAAAAAAUCUUCAUUCUAUAAGAGUACAAUGUCGUUCAUGAAAGAAUCUUCAUUCUCAUUCUUGUUUCAUGUUGUUAUAUUCCAUCCACCAUUGAUCAAAUCAGCUGGAACAACAUACACAAAUUAACCAAUUGUCAAAUCAGUUGGAACUAGAUAUCUAAAAUAAAAACAUUAACUUAUUACCAUGGAGAUGUAGGUUUUGCUAAAAUGAAACAUGUCAUAAAUGGACCAAUGGACCAAUAUUCUUUAAGAAUAGAGAAAUAUUCUUUAAGAAUAGAAAACUAUUCUUUUAAGAAUUGGCCAAUAUCCUUUAAGAAUGAAACAACAUUCUUAUUCUUGAGAGAAUCUUGUAACAAAAGAAUGCAAUUCUUCUGUUUGUUCUUGCUUAUGUAAUUGCGACACCCUCGAUCUCUCACCUUGUGAACAUGUCAAUCUCGAACCCAAAAUUUUGAAAAGAAAUAUCAAACAGUUUAACAAUUAAUAUCAAUUCAAGAUUAAAGGAUCAAUCUUGAAUUCAUAUUGAUGAUUCGUAUAAAGUUCUAUAAAUAUAAUCAUAAUCACUUCGAAGAUUUUACUCAUUAAACUUGUAAAACAAAUAAAAUACAACCCAACCUAAUUCAAUAUAUCAUACAUAAUUGUCACCUCCAUUAUAUAAGAUUGGCAAUAAAAACAUUCAUUUGUUAUGUUAAUUGUUGAAAAAAGGAACCGGCUAAAAUGAAACAUGGUACCAGAUGAAAAUUUCAUCUAGGCAUGUCUCAACCAUGUUAAACGACAAUAUAAGACAUAAUUAAAUACAACAUUUGGAUGAUUGAAAGAAUAGCAGAUUUAACAAAGUAUGAUUAAUAGAGAGAAAAAGAAGACCGAAAGUGGAAUUACCAAGCAAAUAAUAGACUUAUGUGAGUGACAGAAAUCAUGAAAAUUGUUGAGCAUCAGUUGAGAAGUUCUUAAGGAAACAUUAGGCCACUUUUAACAUACAUUUCUCGUUUUCUUUUAAAAAACAGAUGAUCUUUUUUAUUGGUUUUAUAUUCUCCUCUUAAGAAACUCGAGAGCUAUGAAGUUAAACAUACACCCUAAAUGACUUUCAAAGGUGAAAAAAUUAGUGUUUCUUUCACAUGAAGAAGCCAAAAACUAAGCUGCAAAACCAACAGCAAGUGGAAGUAAAAUAAAGGCAGCAAGAGCAUAGAAUUAAGAAACAAUAGAAUAGAAUUAAGAAACAGGAAUACAAUUGAAUUCACAUACAAAAUUUCAAAGAGCAGGCGGAGACUAUGCAGUUCCUAAUACCUGAUUCAUUGAUUUAUACGGCGCCUGUAACAACAAGCCGGCAACAGACUAGGAUUGAAAUAGGUAAAGAAUGACUUUAGGAAAAAACCUUUUAGCUUUGUUGUUCAACAUCAUCUUGUCGAUGGCGUUUCUCAGGUGCAUCGGCAAAUCAACGGCGACGACUUAUCAAGGUCCCGUGGUUGACUGGCGAUGGUGACGUCUGAUUAGGGCUGGAUCGAUGUCGGGUAUGUGAUCCCAAAUAUUGUGAAACAAGAUCGAAGAAGGUUUUCGUAGAGGCUUGGUAUGCUUGACGGGGUCUUCGAUUUCCGGCGACCGGCGACGGCAUGAAGGUCGUCUGAUGGGGGGCCGAAGGUCAAUGAAAACGGGAGGGAUACGACUGUGUUGGUGUCGAUUGAA
rnacentral:lncRNA from 1 species